rnacentral:rRNA from 1 species
GUGCCAGCCGCCGCGGUAAUACGUAGGGGGCAAGCGUUGUUCGGAAUUACUGGGCGUAAAGGGCGCGUAGGCGGCAGGAGAAGUCGGGAGUGAAAGCCCGGGGCUCAACCCCGGAACGUCUCUCGAAACUGACCAGCUAGAGUGCGGAAGAUGCAACUGGAAUUCCCAGUGUAGCGGUGAAAUGCGUAGAUAUUGGGAAGAACACCUGAGGCGAAGGCGGGUUGCUGGGCUGAUACUGACGCUGAGGCGCGAAAGCUAGGGGAGCGAACGGGAUUAGAUACCCCCGUAGUCC